GGAAUAUUGGACAAUGGGGGCAACCCUGAUCCAGCCAUGCCGCGUGAGUGAUGAAGGCCUUAGGGUUGUAAAGCUCUUUCAGCGGGGAAGAUACUGACGGUACCCGCAGAAGAAGCCCCGGCUAACUUCGUGCCAGCAGCCGCGGUAAUACGAAGGGGGCUAGCGUUGCUCGGAAUCACUGGGCGUAAAGCGCACGUAGGCGGGUCCUUAAGUCAGGGGUGAAAUCCCGGAGCUCAACUCCGGAACUGCCUUUGAUACUGGGGAUCUUGAGUCCGGAAGAGGUGAGUGGAACUCCGAGUGUAGAGGUGAAAUUCGUAGAUAUUCGGAAGAACACCAGUGGCGAAGGCGGCUCACUGGUCCGGUACUGACGCUGAGGUGCGAAAGCGUGGGGAGCAAAC
rnacentral:rRNA from 1 species